UCUUCUUGUUGUGUAUGGCAUGUUCCGAGAAUCAAUGGUGAAAUACCCUCAGUUGAUGAAGCAACUUUAGAUCAUCAAAGGCUACUAGAAAGACUACAGGUCUAUAAUUUGGUGGAGCUUAAAGUUGAAGGAGAUGGUAUUUGUCAGUUCCGUGCUCUAUCUGAUCAAUUUUAUCGAUCUCCUGAGCAUCAUGAAUUUUUGAGACAGCAAGUCGUAAAUCAGCUUUAAAUCAUAUCCAGAUAUAGACAAGGGUUACGUUCUCAUGGCAUAUGGUGACUAUCUGGAGAAGAUGUCCAAGAGUGGUGAAUGGGGUGAUCAUGUAACUUUGCAAGCUGCUGUGGAUUUGUAUGGUGUUAAAAUGUGUUGCAGUAUGAUGCAAAUAUUGGGUGUCUUUCAAGGACACUUGCUACAUUGAGAUUCUCCCGAAUGUCAAAAAGUCGAAAUGAGUUAUUUUUUUUUGAGCUUUUGGGCAGAGGUGCAUUACAACUCAAUCUAUCCAUUUGGAGAUGUGCCGGGAUUUGGGAUAACGAAGAAGAAGAAGAAAAAAGGGCGAAUGUUUCAGAACAAGCAUUUCGAGUCACCUGAUGAAUAUCAAUGAAUAUCUCAGAGAAAACGUUUGGACUGCUGCCACCGAUUGAAACAUAGCCAUCUCAUGAGCAGAAAAUUCCAAAUCAAAAUCAAACUCCAAAGGUGGUAAACUUGGUUCACCCCUUGAAACAUCCCCACUGUUCUUCAACAACAUACGAUCAGGUUCCUGAAGAAAGGUCAAACAAGGGGUAUAAUCCGAGGUAGCCAAAGGGGAAUCUGAACCAGUUGAGAAAGGAACCAAACCAGUGUUGGUGCUGUUGUUGUUGGUCGGACCAGGUGUUGUUGAUGUUUCACUUACACCAGUACCAGUAGCAGCAACAAUCGAUGGUUCAGCUUGACGCAACAGCCAUGCAAUGGUCUCACCAUCAGUUUUCAACCCAAGUUCUCUUGUGAGCUGAAAAAUCCUAGCCGCGCAAACAGUUGGUAACCUGAUCCGUCUGUCUCUACCAUCAACCUUUGCAUGGCGGUCUUUGGUGGUUGUCUUCUUGUUUUUUGAAGUACUUGCCUUGUUUGCAGAACCAGUCCUCGGUUUCUUCGUUGAAGGGUUGGUUGAUAAAGCCAUCUCUAACCCCAUGUUCUUCGAUGACGCCAUUGAUUCUCACACUAACACACACUCGUACACUUAUGAACAUGUAUGUAUAAAUAGGCAGAUAUGUAUGCUUUUGAUGAAAAGUGAGAAACAAGAUGACUUUGAAAAAAGAUUUCAACUGACAAAACAUGCAACUUGUCUGGUUCUUUUACAAAUGUAAACCAAAAACCAGAAGUUCCUUCUUUGUAACGUGCCAAUGGUGAUGUAAGGGUAGCAACAAGAAAACCAAUAUAUGAUUAACAGAUACAUAUACAUAUUUAAGGAUA